rnacentral:rRNA from 1 species
CACGUAGGGCGCAAGCGUUGUCCGGAAUUACUGGGCGUAAAGAGCUCGUAGGUGGUUUGUCGCGUUGUUCGUGAAAACUCACAGCUCAACUGUGGGCGUGCGGGCGAUACGGGCAGACUGGAGUACUGCAGGGGAGACUGGAAUUCCUGGUGUAGCGGUGGAAUGCGCAGAUAUCAGGAGGAACACCGGUGGCGAAGGCGGGUCUCUGGGCAGUAACUGACGCUGAGGAGCGAAAGCGUGGGGAGCGAACAGG